GACGAACGCUGGCGGCGUGCCUAAUACAUGCAAGUAGAACGCACAGUUUAUACCGUAGCUUGCUACACCAUAAACUGUGAGUUGCGAACGGGUGAGUAACGCGUAGGUAACCUGCCUGGUAGCGGGGGAUAACUAUUGGAAACGAUAGCUAAUACCGCAUAAUAUUGAUUAUUGCAUGAUAAUUGAUUGAAAGAUGCUAUUGCAUCACUACCAGAUGGACCUGCGUUGUAUUAGCUAGUAGGUGAGGUAACGGCUCACCUAGGCGACGAUACAUAGCCGACCUGAGAGGGUGAUCGGCCACACUGGGACUGAGACACGGCCCAGACUCCCACGGGAGGCAGCAGUAGGGAAUCUUCGGCAAUGGACGAAAGUCUGACCGAGCAACGCCGCGUGAGUGAAGAAGGUUUUCGGAUCGUAAAGCUCUGUUGUAAGAGAAGAACGGGUGUGAGAGUGGAAAGUUCACACUGUGACGGUAUCUUACCAGAAAGGGACGGCUAACUACGUG
rnacentral:rRNA from 1 species